rnacentral:rRNA from 1 species
UACGUAGGGUGCGAGCGUUGUCCGGAAUUAUUGGGCGUAAAGGGCUCGUAGGCGGUCUGUCACGUCGGGAGUGAAAACUCAGGGCUUAACCCUGAGCCUGCUUCCGAUACGGGCAGACUAGAGGUAUGCAGGGGAGAACGGAAUUCCUGGUGUAGCGGUGAAAUGCGCAGAUAUCAGGAGGAACACCGGUGGCGAAGGCGGAUCUCUGGGCCGAUACUGACGCUGAGGAGCGAAAGCGUGGGGAGCGAACAGG